rnacentral:misc_RNA from 1 species
GGAAGGAUCAUUAACACGUUAUCCAACGUUUACCAACCAACGAGAACUGUUUUCAAAUUGCUCCCGGAGGCAAGGAAUGAGUGGUAGUCCGACUGAGGUAUUGAAAGGGAUCGUCUCGACAUCAGCCUCUAUCUUACAACUUGGGCACAAUCGAAAGGUUGUGCUCAGACACUGUAUCUUUGCCAAAGGUAAUAAAUUCUGCGCAGGGUGUCCCCUUUCAUUGACUUCUGCGCAGGUCCUAUUUUUAACGUAUGUCACCCCCAAUUUUGCUAGUUGACUUUAUUCUGUUGCUUUUCGUUUGGUCGAGCGUUUGCUUUUUUCUGCUGCUUUUUGGCGUAGAGAAAUGUGAAUUCGAGAACAAAAGUGAGCACACGUUUAAUCUAAUUGAACGAUAAAUCAUACAACUCUUAGCAAUGGAUAUCUUGGUUCUCGCAACGAUGAAGAACGCAGCGAAAUGCGAUACGUAAUGCGAAUUGCAGAAUUCAGUGAAUCAUCAAAUCUUUGAACGCAAAUUGCGCUCUUGGGUAGCCCUAGGAGCACGCCUCUCUCAGUAUCGGUUCAACCCUCUCUCAGCAGCGUGUUGGAUUUGUUCAUUCAAAUCCGACGGCGCGUUGACUGGAUAAUGAGAGUCUGCCUCACACGCAGUCUCUUGAAGUACAUGGAGGAAAUGGAAAAACAAUCAAUUCCAAAACCAAUUGCUAUACGAACUGCGCUUGCGAUUUCGCAGCUUAGUCGAUUACUUGACUGAAUGGUUCGGAAGAAGUGACGUGAAUAAUGAGCCUUCAUUGGUCUCUUUCUUUUUACGUCGAAUCUUUUUCCGAUCGAUUUGUGUAAUUCGGCAAACGUUUGACAACGCAAUUGAAUUAUUGAUUUUGUUUUUCCUUUUCACGCGAGAAAACCAUACGAAUUCCCUUUCUCUUUUGAAGGGGCAAUUCUGAAUUUUGAUCUGAGAUGAAGCGAGACAACCCCCUGAAUUUAAGCAUAUUAAUAAGGGGAGGAAAAGAAACUAACAAGGAUUCCCUUAGUAACGGCGAGUGAAGCGGGAAGAGCUCAAUUUGAAAAUCGAUUUCCCAGACGGGACAUCGAGUUGUAGCCUAUCGACGUACUAUCAGCUGAAACCUGGGUAUAAGUUCUUUGGAAUGAGGCGCUAGAAAGGGUGAGAGCCCCGUAUAUGGCCCAAAGCUUUCAGCGUACGAUGUGCGUUCAUCGAGUCGAGUUGUUUGGGAUUGCAGCUCUAAAUGGGUGGUAAGUUUCAUCUAAAGCUAAAUAAUGGCGAGAGACCGAUAGCGAACAAGUACCGUGAGGGAAAGAUGAAAAGAACUUUGAAAAGAGAGUUAAAAGUACUUGAAAUUGCUAAGAGGGAAGCGCUAGAAACCAGUGAUACGUGCGGUCAAUCGCUUUUGGCCCCUCCAGUUGGCGCGCGCAAUGGGCAACCUUGCGUGCGUCUGCGAAAGGGUGGUCGGAGGUUUCUGAUCGUGCGUCAGUCAAGAUCAAUUCGGAUUCGUGGGAGAAAGCGGAGAGAAAGGUAGGUGAGCAAUCACUGUUAUAGUCUUUCCGCCCUACCUCGUUCUGGAUUGAGGAAGGAAUGGUGCGCCGCUUGCGGCUUGGUCCUGCGUCUCUGUUGCCCCAACUGCUCUGAUAGCAAUGCUCUCUCUGUGGUGAAAGGUGACACUGGGCGUAGCGAUUCUAUGUGCCAUCACGAUCUUGUACGAAAUGGUUUCUAUCGACCCGUCUUGAAACACGGACCAAGGAGUCUAACAUCUGUGCGAGUAUUUGGGUGCAAAACCCUGAUGCGGAAUGAAAGUAAAGGCAGCCUCGUCGCUGCUGAGGUAGGAAUCCCUGUCACAGGGGAGGCACUAUCGACCGAUCAUCACUUGUGAAAGAUUUGAGUAAGAGCAUAUCUGUUGGGACCCGAAAGAUGGUGAUCUAUGCCUGAACAGGGUGAAAGCCAGGGGAAACUCUGGUGGAGGCUCGUAGCGAUACUGACGUGCAAAUCGUUCGUCUGAUUUGGGUAUAGGGGCGAAAGACUAAUCGAACCAUCUAGUAGCUGGUUCCCUC